GUACUGCUGAGGAGUCUCAAACGAGGACGGAACAGUUGUCCAGUAC
rnacentral:hammerhead_ribozyme from 1 species